rnacentral:rRNA from 1 species
UACAGAGGGUGCGAGCGUUAUUCGAAAUUAUUGGGCGUAAAGCGCAAGUAGGUGGUGAGAUAAGUCUUAUGUGAAAUACUCGGGCUCAACCCGAGAGGGUCAUAGGAAACUGUCUCGCUAGAGUGCAAUAGGGGAGAGCGGAAUUCCCAGUGUAGUAGUGAAAUACGUAGAUAUUGGGAGGAACACCGGUGGCGAAAGCGGCUCUCUGGAUUGUUACUGACACUCAGUUGCGAAAGCGUGGGGAUCAAACAGG